UAGGGAAUAUUGCUCAAUGGGGGAAACCCUGAAGCAGCAACGCCGCGUGAGUGAUGAAGGCCUUCGGGUCGUAAAGCUCUGUUGUACGGGAAGAAUAAGGUUUGGCUAAUAUCCAAACCGGUGACUGUACUGUAUAAGAAAGGACCGGCUAACUUCGUGCCAGCAGCCGCGGUAAGACGGGGGGUCCUAGCGUUGUUCGGAAUCAUUGGGCGUAAAGCGUGUGCAGGUGGUCUAGAAAGUUAGGUGUGAAAGCCCCGGGCUUAACCCGGGAAGUGCACUUAAAACUACUAGACUUGAAUAUGAAAGAGGGUCGUGGAAUUCCUAGUGUAGUGGUGAAAUACGUAGAUAUUAGGAGGAACACCGGUGGCGAAGGCGGCGACCUGGUUCAAUAUUGACACUC
rnacentral:rRNA from 1 species